GACAGAGGCGCCAAGCGUUAGGCGGAAUCACUGGGCUUAAAGCGUGUGUAGGCGGACUUGUAAGUACCUUGUGAAAUCCCACGGCUCAACCGUGGAACUGCUCGGUAUACUGCUUUUCUUGAGCCACUUAGGGGCUGUCGGAACAAACGGUGGAGCGGUGAAAUGCGUAGAUAUCUGGAGGAACACCGGUGGCGAAGGCGGCAUCCUGGACCGGCAUUGACGCUGAGGAGCGAAAGCUAGGGGAGCAAACGGG
rnacentral:rRNA from 1 species